CCCCGUUGAGAAAUAUAAAGUCUGCAAUAUUCAAAACGAAGGACGCAAAGGGGUUAGAAUUCUCGUAUCUUCUUCAAUCGUAUUUUUUUUUACAAUGUUCCUCUGUAAUUGCAAAACACUUUGGCUAUAGGGAGAAAGAAACACAACAAAUCUACCCCAGAGAGAGAGAGAGAGAGAGAGAGAGAGGUAUUUAGGUUGGACGGGCUGGCGACGCUCACUGCAGACGCUGAAGGAUGAGAGACGCGCAAUAGUUUUCUCUAAGUGUUCGUCUAUGUUGUCGAGCUAUAGAGGCGUUGUUUGCUAGAACUCUCAAUGAAAACAACAAGAGAUGGCCACAGGAGUUGUUAUCCCCCCGCAACUGCAAGAGGUUCUUCAGAGUCACGAUAUCCAAUGGCGAGAUAACGCUGUCAUGAGCUGGACCUGAGACAUUUGGAUUUUGAUUUCCGUAGGAGCGAUCUGAUUGAAUCUAAAGCGGAGUUUUCUUUUGGAACCAAUCUGGAUUAUCGAUUCGUAAGUUUUUUUUUUUUAAUUAAUUUUGAUAGAAAUAUAUAGAUUUAGUUUCUUUUUAUUCUUUUUUAGUCAAACAUAGCUCUAAAUUUGCUCAUUUCAUUUUCUGUGUGAGGGAUUGCCAAAAGAAGUUUUGCUCUGGUUGCCGUUGUCCCGACUCUGUAGCAGAGAGAGAGAGAGAGAGAGAGAGAGAGAGAGCGUGCUUAUUCUUCUGCUUCUUCACACGCCAACAGGUCGAUCUAAUUCUUCCUUCUUCUCAACUCUCUUAUUUCAUCGCAAUGAUUUCCGUAAAAAUCUUUGUAAUUUGAUUACUCUUCUGCCAGAUUCAAAGAUCCAAGAAACGCAUAGGUGUUUACUGCCUCCCUCCCUCCCUUUGUGAUAAUGUUUUUUCUAUUUUUUUUUUGGGUUAAUUCAAUAGGAUUGUACUGUACCAGUAAUGUAGUGGCAUUUUAUCAUA